rnacentral:lncRNA from 1 species
AAAGGUUUUCUGUGGAUUUUGUAUCUUAGUAUUUCAAAACCUGUUUCUGUGGUUGGAAACAUUUUAACUUAUAGAUAUGGAUUUAUAUUUAAAUAUCGAAUGUAUUAAUGUGAAUCUGUGGUGAAUGGUGUAUGAAUGUAUAUCUGUUGGUCAUUUGUAUAUUCAUCUGGUUGUGGUUGUAUAAUGUUUGAACUCUUGUACUUGUGCGACGCCGUGCAAAUACAGGGGAGAUUCUGUCCGUGUGAACAGUGGAUUCCUUGUAUUUGUGGCGGAUCUGGUAUACCCUGGGAUCAGGUUUUCAAAAAAAAAUAAUUUCAGACGCUUUUCCGCUAUGCUUUAAACUAAAAAGGGACCCCGGGGCGUGACACAUUGAAAGUUUACAGUUUCACAUGCG